UAAUUUCAUGUGAAAAGCUAAAUUCAUUAUUCAGGUUGUGAUGAACUGAAACUUUCUUGUUUAAAGCUCUUGUUAAGUUCACUUCAAAUAGCAUUGAAUUUUUUUGUGAACCUGCCUUCAUCAUGCUGGUUAAGGAAGUUAUGUUAUGGAACUAAGCUUUGUAGGACUAUGUGUGACAAGAUACCUUUGAAAGAUCUGCUUCACUACAUGGAACCCGAGAGUUCAUUAAUGUUGGAGAUUUUGGGAAAUUAAUUUCUCAGUAAUGUGUCUUAAGUUACAAAACAUGAAGUGUCUUACUUGUGGAACAUUGGUAGACUAUGAUAAAGAAAACAAUUAUAAUCUUUUUUUGGUUUUAAUAAUAAUUCCAAAUCAUUU